rnacentral:rRNA from 1 species
GUGUUUGAUCCUAGCUCAGAGUGAACGCUGGUGGUAUGCCUAACACAUGCAAGUCGAGCGAAGGGAGCUUUUUGUUCCUUUAGCGGCAAACGAGCGAGUAUAAGAUAGGAAUCCGCCCUACAGUUUGGAAUAGCCAUUGGAAACGAUGGGUAAUACCGAAUAUUACCAUUUAUGGGAAAGCCUUGUGUGCUGUAGGAAGAGCCUAUCCCCGAUUAGUUAGUUGGUGAAGUAAUGGUUUACCAAGAUGAUGAUCGGUAGCCGGUAUGAGAGUAUGAUCGGCCGCGCCGGAACUGAGAUACGGUCCGGACUCCUACGGGAGGCAGCAGUG